GACGGAGGAUGCAAGUGUUAUCCGGAAUCACUGGGCGUAGAGCGUCUGUAGGUGGUUUAAAAAGUCUACUGUUAAAGAUCGAAGCUCAACUUCGAAGAUGCCGUAGAAACUCUUAAACUUGAGUAUGGUAGGGGUAGAGGGAAUUUCCAGUGGAGCGGUGAAAUGCGUAGAUAUUGGAAAGACCACCAAUGGCGAAGGCACUCUACUGGGCCAUUACUGACACUGGAGAGACGAAAGCUAGGGGAGCAAAUGGG
rnacentral:rRNA from 1 species